rnacentral:lncRNA from 1 species
AAGCUGGCAACAGGAUGCAUUGUUUCAAAUUAAAGGCACAAUCCGCUUCUCAUACCUCAUGGAAGGUUAGGCGAAGAGACUGAUGGAAAAGAAAGUCUCGGCUAUCUUCAUUAAGCGGCACGUACAGGUUUUCCUGCCUUAUCUAAUGACACCAUAUCAGCCAUCUAAUGAAUCCCCGGGCCAUAAAUAAAAACUCAUGAGAACGAACCAACUUAAGCCCCGCCAGAUUUGUAGGAUAUAACGAGUUUUAUGUUUUUCCUAUUUCUUUGGGGAGCAAUUCAUCAGUGAGAGAAAUGCAUCUUCCUUGGAUUGAGGAUUUUUUCGGUAAAAGGGCGUAUGAGGCUUGCAAUGCUGCAAUGCUAAGGAAGAACGCCGUAUGAUCCAUCAGGCGUUGCCAAAUUUCCUACGAAAAACAACGAAUUUCCAGGAAAUUUUGUGAAUAUUCCUCCUCCGAUUUUUCGGAGAAUUUUGUUCGAAAUUGUAUCUAAAAAGUCUGGAAAUUUCAAGAAAAAUAUUCAUAACUUUCUUCCGAAAUACAUAUUUUCUGAGAGGAAAUUUGGCAAUAUUCGAAUAUAAUACGGCGUUUUUCCUUAGCACGGCAGAAUGCUGCUGAGAUUGUGCAAUUUUUAUAGCGUUUGCGGUAGAUGAAAUUCAUUCAAAGUCGCUUAGUGAGGAAAAAGUCGGAGCAGAUUCAAGGAAAAAUUCAUAGCAGAACUGUCGGAUAAGGUACUUACAAUUUUUAUUUUUUCUUUUCUUUUCACCCCGAGGGGCUUCGUUUAUUAGCGUACAAAAACAUAUGUACGUGGAACUGGGGAGGACAGAGCCCCAGCCCGAAGGCCUAUAGGCACAAACUAAUAAUCAGGGUGGAUUCACUGCUAUGAGAUUCUUACAAUUAGAAAACUACGUUGCACAAUCGUAGCAGCAUUGCAAGUAUCAUACGCCUUUUUACCGAAAAAUGCCUCAAUUCCUCAUUGAUGGAAAAAUUAUGAAUUUGUCCUGUAUUUUUUACUCUUUUUGACCAAACUGAAUUUUUGUUCGAUAAAAUGAUGUUAUCAUAAUAGGGUCAAAACUCAAACCCCGAAACUAACGGACUAGCAAGGCAUUUGACAAGGAAUCUAAAAGUAUGCCUGUUACACAGUUCAGUCAAGGGGCUCUAUUCUUCCUCUAAAUAUUUACUGUUCCGCCUAUGAAUGGUGCAACGAUGCCACAUCCUGGAAAAAAUUAGGUAGAAGUAGUUUUCAGCGUAAAUAGCUAGAUAUUCAUUUGAUGCAAAGAGUCUGCUACAUAUCAAAGGCCGCAUACUGACUCGUUUUUGUUUUUUUUUUUGUUUUUUUUUGGGGGGGCGGGGUAGAUAUACCUCUGAAUUCCUAAAGGAUUAAGGCUUUGACUUAGCGAUUAAAGAAAUCAAACGGUAUUUUCUGUUGUCAUGACAGUCCUCGCGUGUUUUCACUUUCCGCCCGUCUCAUUUUCAAUUAACAGGUAACACAGUAAACAAUAAACAUUUCGGGUAGGUGACUUCGGGAGACAGUAGACGAUCUGUGAAGUUGCCAUAUCUAGGAAAUCCCUCCGCUACACUUCGCGAAACACUCAGGUUUCUGCUAAUAAAGUCAACGCCUCAGUUCUGGUGGAGAGGUCACUCAAAUUACCGUGACGAUCACUUUCAAUUUCAACAAUCAAACCCGUAGUCACAACAGAUCCCGUUACGGUGGAAAGGGUAUCGCAAUCCCAGGUAACACUCAGGUGUGAUUCUUGCGAAAAAGUAACGGGUUCGAUGCGGCCUUGAGGUGAGCGGCGCGCCAUCACCUCAGAACAAAACGCGGUGCAUUAUGCCGAUUGUUUCGCACAACGGUGACGUAUUGUUCCGGUGAUUAUCCGCUCGAAAAGGGUGGCCGAAAGGGUGGUCACUGGUCAAUGCGUCGGCCUUUUAAUCGGACUGAGGAAUUCGAGGGAUGGCCUUGCUAUUGAACUAUAGCAACAUCAUGGAAUCUUCUGGUAGGGUGGCAAUAUUGAUAUCUCGGCACUCUUGUAUUG